UACGUAGGGUGCAAGCGUUGUCCGGAAUUAUUGGGCGUAAAGAGCUCGUAGGCGGUGUGUCGCGUCUGCUGUGAAAACUCAGGGCUCAACUCUGAGCUUGCAGUGGGUACGGGCACACUUGAGUGCGGUAGGGGAGACUGGAAUUCCUGGUGUAGCGGUGAAAUGCGCAGAUAUCAGGAGGAACACCGGUGGCGAAGGCGGGUCUCUGGGCCGUAAACUGACGCUGAGGAGCGAAAGCAUGGGGAGCGAACAGG
rnacentral:rRNA from 1 species